ensembl:ncRNA CD4.18 ncRNA
CACAUCGGUCCGGAGUUGAUGGGUUACCAGAUUAAUUCUUCUGCUUGCAGGAGAGCCCGGUGUCCUUGUGAUGCCAAACCCGUGUUCCUAACAGAAUACAACCCCUUCCCAUCGACACCAACUUGACCGUUGUU